rnacentral:lncRNA from 1 species
UUUCUCAAGAUAUGACUUCUUUAGCAUCAUAAGCCUCUAAAGAGCACUCGAGCGUACCCUACAUCAUCACGGCUUCUCUUGUACUACAUGGGCUUAUGGUGGUAUGUGCUAAUUAACUUCUCUCUCGAUAUUUAUGAGAAUUGUCGUUAAUAAAAAAGGAAAACUAGAUGUCUAAGGAGGAACGUGGUAUUUUCUAUAAGUAGAGCUAACAUGAACAACCACUCCUUUGAUGAUAUGCUACAUUUUUCCAACAAGGAAUUGAACUACUCUCUAGGAAAGGGAGUUUAGAUUUUUUUUGUUAUUAAUGAUGGGUUCAGACUCGAUGGAUGCUUGUUCUAGAAAGAAGUCUAGAAAGAAGUCACUGAAUUGAUAUCAACUAAAGCAAUCUCUUCUUUAUACAAGAGGCAAGGGCUACCUUGAUAGCACGUAAAAACAUGAAUUGUUUGAGUUCUUUUUUUUAAUACAAGAAAGUUAAUUUUGCAAGAUAUUAUGAAAGGUCGCAUCAAAUACUAUCUGAGGCACAUCACAGGUGAAGUCGGCGAGUGUACGAUGUGUGCCGGGACUUGGACAAGUAUUGCUUUUGAUAUUAAUGGGAAAGACAAUGGAGGCUACUUUGCUCGACAGUACUAUCACGGUAGAUUUGGAAAUUGUAUACAACGGAGGCUACUUUGCUUGACAGAAACUUAUUGUUCAGGAUGCAUUCUGCAGGUUCCAUUACUGAUGUGGUACACAAUGCUUACUACACAUGUCACCUUAUUUUCUUGUUAUGCAAUUUAUCUAAUUAAGCAAAUGUCUCAGCGUCAUAUAUUGUUAAUCUGCAUUGCUACUAUAGACCACGGAGUAAGUUAGAUCUUCUUCUUGCCGCAAGCACGUGCAUUGCAAGCUUGCCCAUAUUUUUUGUAGCCACUAUACUUUAUUUUUCUAUGUCUGUGCAUUAUUGGCAUGUCAAUUGGAGAAUUUAAAAAUACCCCUACAAAUUAUGACAUAGCUCAAGUUUCAUCUUUUUGGGGUCAAUGAUUUGACAUCUGAAUCAGAUGUGUUAAUAUGAGCUACACAAAAUUUAAGUAUGUUAUAUCAUUCCAUAAUGCUAGAAUAUUCAUCAGUGAUUUCUAUAGGUUCAUUCUUUUUACCAUGGUGUUCGUACAAGGAUAACAUGAUAUAGACAAACUAUAAUCAUGCUUUCCUGCAUUGCAAGUUGCCCAUAUUAUUUUUAGAUGUUGGUUCUCUUCAUUUUCAUUUUAAAGUUUUAGUCUCAAGGCAUCCAUGCUAGCUUACUAUAGAAUUGAACACAAUUGAUGAACCUGAAAUCUUUAUGGGCGAGGUGCUGUAGCGAGAUUACUUUUUUUAAUCUGUUUUUCACGCCGAGAGAUGGUGAAAUUGUCCAUGCUCAGUGUCAUUCCUUGUUCUUAUUCAUGAGCUGCCAUGGUUAGUGUCACGUGUAUGCACAAUUGUAUUUCAUAAUACUGAACAACCUUGCAGGUGACAUAUUUUCCUUCUAGGUGGCCUGGUUUGCGACAACAUACUGGUGACAGUGAGCACCGAAAGAUAGAGAUGCAUGUAAGGAAUUGCCUAUUAGUGGCAUCAAGCACCAGAAUAGAAGAUACAAAAUAGGGUAGGGGAAAGAUAUGGCAGUGAAGAGAGUUGUUUGGUAUGUGCGUGUGUACGUGAUUGUUGGGUUGUUCUGUGUUGUAAGUGCAGU